rnacentral:lncRNA from 1 species
AACUAGUAUAAAAAAGAAGAUGUGGUAUGAUUGCCAAUGAGACAACUAUCUACAAAAAACCAAAAUGACACAGACAUUAACAACUAUAGGUCACCGUACGGCCUUCAACAAUGAGCAAAGCCCAUACCGCAUAGUCAGCUAUAAAAGGCCGCGAUAAGACAAUGUAAAACAAUUCAAACGAGAAAACUAACGGCCUUAUUUAUGUAAUAAAAAUGAACGAAAAACAAAUAUGUAACACAUAAACAAACGAC